rnacentral:snRNA from 1 species
GCACUUACCUGGACGGGGUCAAUGGUCGAUCAAGAAGGACCAUGGCCUAGGCAUGUGACCUCCAUUGCACUUUGGAGGGGCGCCCGCCUAAGGUCGAUCCAAGUGGUCGAGCCUACGUCAUAAUUUGUGCCAGUGGGGGCCUGCGUUCGCGCGGCCCCCGC